UGCAGUCGAACGAUGAAGCCUUUCGGGGUGGAUUAGUGGCGAACGGGUGAGUAACACGUGGGCAAUCUGCCCUUCACUCUGGGACAAGCCCUGGAAACGGGGUCUAAUACCGGAUAACACUCUGUCCCGCAUGGGACGGGGUUAAAAGCUCCGGCGGUGAAGGAUGAGCCCGCGGCCUAUCAGCUUGUUGGUGGGGUAAUGGCCUACCAAGGCGACGACGGGUAGCCGGCCUGAGAGGGCGACCGGCCACACUGGGACUGAGACACGGCCCAGACUCCUACGGGAGGCAGCAGUGGGGAAUAUUGCACAAUGGGCGAAAGCCUGAUGCAGCGACGCCGCGUGAGGGAUGACGGCCUUCGGGUUGUAAACCUCUUUCAGCAGGGAAGAAGCGAAAGUGACGGUACCUGCAGAAGAAGCGCCGGCUAACUACGUGCCAGCAGCCGCGGUAAUACGUAGGGCGCAAGCGUUGUCCGGAAUUAUUGGGCGUAAAGAGCUCGUAGGCGGCUUGUCACGUCGGAUGUGAAAGCCCGGGGCUUAACCCCGGGUCUGCAUUCGAUACGGGCUAGCUAGAGUGUGGUAGGGGAGAUCGGAAUUCCUGGUGUAGCGGUGAAAUGCGCAGAUAUCAGGAGGAACACCGGUGGCGAAGGCGGAUCUCUGGGCCAUUACUGACGCUGAGGAGCGAAAGCGUGGGGAGCGAACAGGAUUAGAUACCCUGGUA
rnacentral:rRNA from 1 species